rnacentral:rRNA from 1 species
CUGGAGGUAUCAGAAGUGCGAAUGCUGACAUAAGUAACGAUAAAGCGGGUGAAAAGCCCGCUCGCCGGAAGACCAAGGGUUCCUGUCCAACGUUAAUCGGGGCAGGGUGAGUCGACCCCUAAGGCGAGGCCGAAAGGCGUAGUCGAUGGGAAACAGGUUAAUAUUCCUGUACUUGGUGUUACUGCGAAGGGGGGACGGAGAAGGCUAUGUUGGCCGGGCGACGGUUGUCCCGGUUUAAGCGUGUAGGCUGGUUUUCCAGGCAAAUCCGGAAAAUCAAGGCUGAGGCGUGAUGACGAGGCACUACGGUGCUGAAGCAACAAAUGCCCUGCUUCCAGGAAAAGCCUCUAAGCAUCAGGUAACAUCAAAUCGUACCCCAAACCGACACAGGUGGUCAGGUAGAGAAUACCAAGGCGCUUGAGAGAACUCGGGUGAAGGAACUAGGCAAAAUGGUGCCGUAACUUCGGGAGAAGGCACGCUGAUAUGUAGGUGAAGUCCCUCGCGGAUGGAGCUGAAAUCAGUCGAAGAUACCAGCUGGCUGCAACUGUUUAUUAAAAACACAGCACUGUGCAAACACGAAAGUGGACGUAUACGGUGUGACGCCUGCCCGGUGCCGGAAGGUUAAUUGAUGGGGUUAGCCGCAAGGCGAAGCUCUUGAUCGAAGCCCCGGUAAACGGCGGCCGUAACUAUAACGGUCCUAAGGUAGCGAAAUUCCUUGUCGGGUAAGUUCCGACCUGCACGAAUGGCGUAAUGAUGGCCAGGCUGUCUCCACCCGAGACUCAGUGAAAUUGAACUCGCUGUGAAGAUGCAGUGUACCCGCGGCAAGACGGAAAGACCCCGUGAACCUUUACUAUAGCUUGACACUGAACAUUGAGCCUUGAUGUGUAGGAUAGGUGGGAGGCUUAGAAGUGUGGACGCCAGUCUGCAUGGAGCCGACCUUGAAAUACCACCCUUUAAUGUUUGAUGUUCUAACGUUGACCCGUAAUCCGGGUUGCGGACAGUGUCUGGUGGGUAGUUUGACUGGGGCGGUCUCCUCCUAAAGAGUAACGGAGGAGCACGAAGGUUGGCUAAUCCUGGUCGGACAUCAGGAGGUUAGUGCAAUGGCAUAAGCCAGCUUGACUGCGAGCGUGACGGCGCGAGCAGGUGCGAAAGCAGGUCAUAGUGAUCCGGUGGUUCUGAAUGGAAGGGCCAUCGCUCAACGGAUAAAAGGUACUCCGGGGAUAACAGGCUGAUACCGCCCAAGAGUUCAUAUCGACGGCGGUGUUUGGCACCUCGAUGUCGGCUCAUCACAUCCUGGGGCUGAAGUAGGUCCCAAGGGUAUGGCUGUUCGCCAUUUAAAGUGGUACGCGAGCUGGGUUUAGAACGUCGUGAGACAGUUCGGUCCCUAUCUGCCGUGGGCGCUGGAGAACUGAGGGGGGCUGCUCCUAGUACGAGAGGACCGGAGUGGACGCAUCACUGGUGUUCGGGUUGUCAUGCCAAUGGCACUGCCCGGUAGCUAAAUGCGGAAGAGAUAAGUGCUGAAAGCAUCUAAGCACGAAACUUGCC